rnacentral:rRNA from 1 species
UAUGGUUUUACUACCUUGAAUGGGCUCCAUCUCAUCUGACCUCGUAAGCUAAGCAGGGCUGGGCCUGGUUGAUAUUUGGAUGUAAGACUACCUGAGAAUCCCAACACUUUAAAAA